GCCCAGUUAGCUCAGCUGGUAGAGCACUUCCAUGGUAAGGAAGGGGUCGCCGGUUCGAGUCCGGCACUGGGCU
rnacentral:tRNA from 2 species